rnacentral:piRNA from 1 species
UAAGUUCAAAAUCGCAAAACAGAAUCAC